UCCUGCAAAGCGGUGAACAGCUUGAGACUGGCUUUCUACAAUAACCUGGAGAAAUCUUAGUCACAGGCCAUAUUUUUUUCUAAUGCAAAUUUCUUGAAGUUUUUUUAUUUUUUUCCCCUUCUGAUUCAAGCAGUUGGGUGUCGUUGUCAGGGGCUUGUAGCCAAAGAGACCCACCAGGUCAACAGUGGAAAGGGCUGGCACAAGUUCCAAAGGGAAAAAAGCCCCUUAACUCUCAGGGUUUGGACUCUGUUGUGCUUUUAACUCCAAAAUUGGGCUGAAUGAAACUCUCCCCUGAAGAAAGCAGUCUGAGUUGGUGAGUUGGGCCAUCAAAUUACCAGGAGGUGAGAAGGUUCGUAGAAGCUGAUCCUUUAUUUUCUUGAUUUUACAUGUCAGGGCAGUUUUAAAGCCAAGUACCCAGAUCCCAGAUCCCUUUGAAAGAUGGGUCGCAAUACCACGAUCUUGGACCAACUUCUUUGGCAGGUCCCGCUGUGUGAACAUUGGAGGCAUGAUAUGGAAAGGGGACUUUAUCACCUUGCUAAUUUCAUCCUACUGCUGGGCUUCAUGGGGGGAAGCGGUGUCUAUGGUUGUUUCUAUCUCUUCAGCUUCCUAGCAACUGGCUUCUUAUGCUAUGCUUUGUGGGGCUGGUUUUUUUCCUGCGGGCUGGACAUCUUUGUCUGGAAUUUCCUUCUGAUCAUGGUCUGCCUGACCCAGCUGGCUCAUUUGGUGUACCAACUGCGGAAGAACGUCUUCCUGGAAGAGUUUGACCACCUCUACAAGACUUUGUACCUGCCCUUGCAGGUGCCCCUGCAGAUGUACAAAGAAAUUGUCCACUGCUGUGAGGAGAGAGUCUUAUCACUGGCCACUGAGCAGACCUAUGCUGUGGAAGGGGAGACACCUAUCAACCGCCUUUCUCUGUUGCUUGAAGGCAGGAUCCGUGUGAGCCAGGAUGGGCAGUUUCUACAUUAUAUCUUCCCCUACCAGUUUAUGGACUCCCCAGAGUGGGAAUCAUUGCAACCGUCUGAGGAAGGGAUAUUUCAGGUCACCCUCACUGCUGAGACAGACUGCACCUACAUUUCCUGGCCGCGCAAGACCUUCUACCACCUUCUGGACAAAGAGCGCUACAUCUCCCGCCUUUUCUCGGCCCUGCUCGGCUACGACAUCUCAGAGAAGCUGUAUGCCCUCAACGACAAGCUCUUUGCCAAGUUUGGCCUGCGUUUUGACAUCCGCCUCCCCAGCCUCUAUCAUGUCCUAGGUCCUGCUUCCUCUUCCUCAGAGCCUGAAGCCGAGAAGGAGGCUGAGGAAAGCAAGGAACCAGCCCUCCCUCCUCACCCUCUGUCUGUGAAAGUUUCCCCACUCCCUUCUCCUCCAGUCCCUGCUGCCCCUGCUGCCCCAGCCCCGGUCAGGGCAUCUCGACUUGGCAGCGAUGGCCUGGGUGAGGACUCUACCAGUCUUGUAUUGGAAGAUUUUGCAGAGUUGCCAGGAUCAUUUAUGGAUUAUGGGAGUGAAGGGGAGUAUAUGAGAUGAGGGAAGUUCUAACACGGGCACAGCCAUCUGGUUUAAGACCCCCCAGCCCCGUUGAUUCAUUCAGAGGCUGAGCUUGGGCCAGCACAGGGUUUUUCUCCAUUACAACGUGAUGUUCUUCAUGUCACUAAAUAUGAUCUGGUGACCUUGGAAUGUCCCUCUCCCCUGGUGGCUGGGAUUCCCGAUCAUCCUGCACCUCUUCUGGAAGUCCUCUUAGGAGUCACCCACACGUUAAAGCCAAAAGCUCAAAAGGACAGGCCCCUUUGGCUCCAACACAUACCCCUGAACUUUAGGGAUCAACUGGUAACUCUUGUUGCAAUGACCAGCCCUGCUCUCCAUACAAGCUAUUAUUCAUGAGAAGGCCACCAAUGAACUUGACCUCCUGGAUUUUCAUGCACUGGGUUCCUCACCUGCACCUGCCUUUGAGACACACAAGACUCUUGCACCUGUGUGACACCACAGUGAUCUUGACGUGUACCUUUUUGUAUUCUCCCCACUCCUUCUCUAGGUCAUUUAAUUAAAAUGCCUAGAAAGUACCAUGUGUCUAAGAAGCCUUGAUUUGUGUUCCUUUUUCAUUCAGUGGCACUAUCCUGGCUUGCUGUCUUACUUUGUACAAAUCAUCUGACCUUUCCAGGCCGACCAAUAAGAUAAGUGGGCUGUAUUGGUUUAUCCCCAAAGCCUUUUAAGUUCUAACCUGUUCUUUGAGUUAGAGAGGGAAGGAAGAAAGAAAAUAAAGAUUUAUGAACAUUUACUAUGUGGAGGCAGCUAGGUGGCUCAAUGGAUAGAGCACUAGGCCUGGAAAACCUGAGUUCAA